rnacentral:rRNA from 1 species
UACAGAGGUCUCAAGCGUUGUUCGGAUUCAUUGGGCGUAAAGGGUGCGUAGGUGGCGCCGUAAGUCGGGUGUGAAAUUUCGGAGCUUAACUCCGAAACUGCAUUCGAUACUGCGGUGCUUGAGGACUGGAGAGGAGGGUGGAAUUCCCAGUGUAGAGGUGAAAUUCGUAGAUAUUGGGAAGAACACCGGUGGCGAAGGCGGCUCUCUGGACCGAUACUGACGCUGAGGCGCGAAAGCGUGGGGAGCAAACAGG